AUUGAACGCUGGCGGCAGGCUUAACACAUGCAAGUCGAGCGGAGAGAGGUAGCUUGCUACUGAUCUUAGCGGCGGACGGGUGAGUAAUGCUUAGGAAUCUGCCUAUUAGUGGGGGACAACAUUUCGAAAGGAAUGCUAAUACCGCAUACGUCCUACGGGAGAAAGCAGGGGAUUUUCGGACCUUGCGCCAAUAGAUGAGCCUAAGUCGGAUUAGCUAGUUGGUGGGGUAAAGGCCUACCAAGGCGACGAUCUGUAGCGGGUCUGAGAGGAUGAUCCGCCACCCUGGGACUGAGACACGGCCCAGACUCCUACGGGAGGCAGCAGUGGGGAAUAUUGGACAAUGGGCGCAAGCCUGAUCCAGCCAUGCCGCGUGUGUGAAGAAGGCCUUAUGGUUGUAAAGCACUUUAAGCGAGGAGGAGGCUACUUUAGUUAAUACCUAGAGAUAGUGGACGUUACUCGCAGAAUAAGCACCGGCUAACUCUGUGCCAGCCGCCGCAGUAACAC
rnacentral:rRNA from 1 species